UACGAAGGGGGCUAGCGUUGUUCGGAAUCACUGGGCGUAAAGCGCGCGUAGGCGGCUUUGUAAGUUAGAGGUGAAAGCCUGGAGCUCAACUUCAGAAUUGCCUUUAAGACUGCAUCGCUUGAAUCCGGGAGAGGUGAGUGGAAUUCCGAGUGUAGAGGUGAAAUUCGUAGAUAUUCGGAAGAACACCAGUGGCGAAGGCGGCUCACUGGACCGGCAUUGACGCUGAGGUGCGAAAGCGUGGGGAGCAAACAGG
rnacentral:rRNA from 1 species